AUGCUCACUUCAGCAGCCCACAUGCUAACAUUGGAAAAAUAUAGAGCAGAUUAGCAUGGCACCUGUGCAAAGAGAACACUCAAAUUUUUGAAGUCUUCUGUAUCAUU